GACGAACGCUGGCGGCGUGCCUAAUACAUGCAAGUAGAACGCUGAAGGAGGAGCUUGCUUCUCUGGAUGAGUUGCGAACGGGUGAGUAACGCGUAGGUAACCUGCCUGGUAGCGGGGGAUAACUAUUGGAAACGAUAGCUAAUACCGCAUAAGAGUAGAUGUUGCAUGACAUUUGCUUAAAAGGUGCAAUUGCCUCACUACCAGAUGGACCUGCGUUGUAUUAGCUAGUUGGUGGGGUAACGGCUUACCAAGGCGACGAUACAUAGCCGACCUGAGAGGGGGAUCGGCCAAACUGGGACUGAGACACGGCCCAGACUCCUACGGGAGGCAGCAGUAGGGAAUCUUCGGCAAUGGACGGAAGUCUGACCGAGCAACGCCGCGUGAGUGAAGAAGGUUUUCGGAUCGUAAAGCUCUGUUGUAAGAGAAGAACGAGUGUGAGAGUGGAAAGUUCACACUGUGACGGUAUCUUACCAGAAAGGGACGGCUAACUACGUG
rnacentral:rRNA from 1 species